rfam:Streptomyces nanshensis strain SCSIO 10429 scaffold112, whole genome shotgun sequence.
CUUCACCGAGCCGAGCAGCAGCGGACGCUCACGGUCCCGGCCAUACGUCGCCAACAACGCCUGCGCCUC